rnacentral:rRNA from 1 species
UCAAGCGAACAAGGGCGCAGGGCGAAUGCCUUGGCACUGGGAGCCGAUGAAAGACGUGAUAAGCUGCGAUAAGCUUCGGGGAGCUGCAAAUAAGCAUUGAUCCGGAGAUUUCUGAAUGAGGAAACUCACCUGGGUUCAUACUCAGGUACAAUACACUGAAAUUUAAAAUAGGUGUAUUGAGGGAACCGCCUGAACUGAAACAUCUAAGUAGGGCGAGGAAGAGACAUCAAACGAGAUUCCGUAAGUAGUGGCGAGCGAACGCGGAAGAGGGCAAACCGAGAGUAGAAAUACUUUCGGGGUACGGACUGCUUUUAAGACUCAAUCUGUUAACCGAACGGCAUGGGAAGGCCGGUCAGAGAGUGUGAGAACCACGUAGGUGAAAACGGAGAGAGCUGCGCAGGAUCCAGAGUACGGCCAGACACGUGAAACCUGGUCGGAAUACGGGGGGACCACCCUCCAACCCUAAAUACUACCCAGUGACCGAUAGCGUAUAGUACUGUGAAGGAAAGGUGAAAAGCACCCCGGGAGGGGAGUGAAAAAGAACCUGAAACCCUGUGCCUACAAGCACCUAGAGCGCGUCAAAGCGUGAUAGGGUACUUUUUGUAGAACGGUCCGGCGAGCGAUUGUAUGCAGCAAGGUUAAGGACUUAAGGUCUGGAGCCGAAGCGAAAGCGAGUUUGAAAAGGGCGUUAAGUUGCAUAUAAUGGGCCCGAAACCGGGUGACCUACCCAUGGUCAGGUUGAAGUGGAAGUAAAAUUCCAUGGAGGACCGAACCGACCUCCGUUGAAAAGGCGGCGGAUGAACUGUGGGUAGCGGAGAAAUUCCAAUCGAACCCGGAGAUAGCUGGUUCUCCCCGAAAUAGUUUUAGGACUAGCCUCAAGUUAGAUACCUGGAGGUAAAGCACUGAAUAGCCUAGCGGCCGAGAGGUUAGCGAAGCUUAUCAAACUCAGAAUGCCAGAGUAUUGAUGCUUGGGAGUCAGACAGUGUCAGAUAAAUGUCAUUGUCAAAAGGGAAACAGCCCAGAUCUACAGCUAAGGUCCCAAAGUCAGGUUAAGUGGAAAACGAUGUGAAGAUACGCAGACAACCAGGAUGUUGGCUCAGAAGCAGCCACUCAUUCAAAGAGUGCGUAAUAGCUCACUGGUCGAGCGUCUUUGCGCGGAGAAUUUAACGGGGCUAAACCUGACACCGAAGCUUAGGCAAUACAGAAAUGUAUUGGGUAGGGGAGCGUUGUAUACGCGGAGAAACAGUAGCGCAAGCGGCUGUGGAGUGUAUAGAAGUGAGAAUGCCGGAAUGAGUAGCGCGAAUGCAGUGAGAAUCUGCAUGGCCGAAAGCCUCAGGUUUCUGGAGGAAGGUUCGUCCGCUCCAGGUUAGUCGGGAGCUAAGGUGAGGCCGGAAGGCGUAGCCGAUGCACAGACGGUAGAGAUUCCGUCACCACCAAAAGAGUUAAGCACAGGGACACAUAUGAAGUCUCAGAGCCGGGUGUUGGUUCCGGUAGAGAUCGAGGGAAAUUAGUACCGAAGUCUGAGAUGGAAGAUGGCGAGAAAAGCUGUGUGUAUUUCUGAGGUGCCCGUACCGCAAACCGACACAGGUAGGUAGGAAGAAGAUUCUAAGGCCAACGGGAGAAGGGUUGUUAAGGAACUCGGCAAAUUGACCCCGUAACUUCGGGAGAAGGGGUGCUCCAGAGAUGGAGCCGCAGAGAAUCGGCCCAAGCAACUGUUUACCAAAAACACAGGUUUGUGCUAAAUCGAAAGAUGACGUAUACGAGCUGACGCCUGCCCGGUGCUGGAAGGUUAAGAGGAGAUGUGCAAGCAUUGAAUCGAAGCCCCAGUGAACGGCGGCCGUAACUAUAACGGUCCUAAGGUAGCGAAAUUCCUUGUCAGGUAAG